CAGGUGGUCUGGGUGGGAUCCUGGGUUUGGAUCCAGGAUGUCUGUCUGGGUUCCUAGGUUUGGAUCAAGGAGGUCUGGGUGGGAUCCUGGGUUUGGAUCCAGGAGGUCUGGGUGGGUUUCUGGGUUUGGAUCCAUGAUAUCUGGCUGGGUUCCUGGGUUUGGAUCCAGGAGGUCUGGGUGGGUUUUGGCCUGUUGCAUUUUCUGUUGUGUUGUGUGGAGUUAUUCACGCGUUCUGAGUACUGCUUAAUUUCUGGAACGUAGCUAAGGUGCUGUGCCAUGUCCGUGAACAUAUACUGGACUUCUAGCAGAUAUAUCCGUGUUUGUGCAUGAGGAUGGAAACGUGAACUUCAGCCUCUAACUGGCCUCCUUUCAGCCGUUCACUUUGUUCAUCUUCACCUUUUGGUUAAAUAUUCCACAUUUUUCUGCAAUAAUGACGGGAUUUCUGGAUUUUGAAGCUGGAUGUUGGUGUUUGAUGGAUAGCAUGACUGAGCUGUUAAACAUAUCAUCUGAAUGUUAAAGUGUCAAGUCUUCAUUUUACUCCUUCUGUGAUUAACAUGUAACUGUUGCCAUGUUUUCUUUCUAAUCUGCCAUUAAAGUGCUUUAUCCAAACCACA